AAUUAUAGUUCUCAAUGUCACCACUCAUUGUCACCGGUGUUUGAAAGAUGAAAUUGAUGAGCCUAGGCUUGCGAUUCAGGGGAUUCUAUGGAUAUUGCAUUCUAGCUUUCACUUAGAGUCACCUUUUAAAAUGUUUGAUGAAAAGAGCAAUGGACAGAAUCGAUGAUGGCUUAUGUGGGAAAGUUUUUCCUGUGAAUGUUUUGGAUGAACUUGUGUUAUUCUUGGUUGUUAUAAGGUGGCAUAAUCCUCAUACGGUUUUCGAUGCUUUUACCAUUAUUUCACAGCCAAAGGAUGCCCUUUUGUAGGCUUUUAUUCAAUUCUUAUGUCUGUUGGGCUCCUAUAAAUACUAUCAAACACUUCUCCAAGCAUUUUAGAGACAAAUUUCUUGUUGGUAUGAUCAACAAGUGCUGGCUGUAUCCUCAAUAACUGUGAAUGAUUCCACUUGGUGGUCAGGUAUUUAGCUUUGCAAUUUUUCGUUCAUUAACCAAUAUUUAAUUUCUUUUUCAAGAUACAGAAACACCAGACGCAAUUGCUCAUUAACUAACUUUUACACAUUUUGCAGUUCUUCAACCUAAUAAGAUUGUUUAACAUCUCUAUAUUUCGUGAUUGUAAUUUUUAUAGUCCAUUUUUUUACCAGAUGAAAUUAACAUAGAGACAGCAUGGUUUGACCCUAUACAGUUUGGUGAACAGGGUUGUUCAAAGAUUAAAUAAAAUGGCAUUUGUUUUCAGUUUUUACUAUAGCAUUUGUUUUCUGUAUUCCGUUUUCGUUGCGGAGAUUGAACUACUCUUUGAGUUAUUCUUUUA